UACGUAGGGGGCUAGCGUUGUCCGGAUUUAUUGGGCGUAAAGCGCGCGUAGGCGGUUUCGCACGUCUGCUGUGAAAGUCGGAGGCUCAACCUUCGAAAGCCGGUGGAUACUGUGAGACUUGAGUACGGAAGAGGAGAGUGGAAUUCCUGGUGUAGCGGUGAAAUGCGCAGAUAUCAGGAGGAACACCAACGGCGAAGGCAGCUCUCUGGGACGUUACUGACGCUGAGACGCGAAAGCGUGGGGAGCAAACAGG
rnacentral:rRNA from 1 species